ACGGCAAUGCGCGCUCCCGAUAAUAAACCUCUGACGCGUUCAUCCGGGGACUACUACGAACUCGUUCUCCAACAUGGCGGCGUCAGCUAAGAAGAAGAAUAAGAAGGGGAAGACCCUCACUCUGACUGACUUCCUGGCAGAGGACGGGAAGGCAAGCAGCAAUGCUCCCCCCAGCUACCCGGCAAAGUCUACUAGCUGGGCCGAUGAGACUGAUGACCUGGACGGCGAUGUCUCGACCUCUUGGCACGGGGAGGAGGAUUACCGGUCAUCGGCAAUUGACCGGUCCGCCCUUCCGACAGCACCUCGCUCAGCACGUGAACCCAAUGUGGACCGCUCCCGAUUGCCCCGCAGCCCGCCUUACACGGCCUUCCUGGGCAACCUGCCCUAUGAUGUCUCUGAGGAGUCGAUCAAAGACUUCUUCCGCGGCUUGGCAAUCAGUGCAGUGCGCCUGCCCCGUGAGCCCAGUAACCCAGAGAGGCUGAAGGGUUUUGGCUAUGCCGAAUUUGACGAUGUGGACUCCCUUCUGAGGGCCUUGAGUCUCAAUGAGGAGAACCUAGGAAACCGAAGGAUCCGUGUAGAUAUUGCUGACCAGUCUAAUGAUAAAGAGAGAGACAAUGGAUCUAUGGGAGGCCGGGACAGGGGCGGCCGGAUGUCGGACCUGGGUCCUGACAAGACAGACAGUCCUGACUGGAGGGCUCGGCCCAGCUCAGAUGCUGAUGAUGGACCGCCCAAGAGAGAAGAGGCCUUUGGAGAAAGCGAUACAGGAUCACGGGACCGCUACGAGCCUGAUCGUUUUCGAGACGGGCCACGGCGGGACAAUGACCGCUAUGAUAGUGGAAGAGACCGCUUCCGCGAUCGCUACGAUGACAGGGACCGUAGAGACUUCGAUAGAGGAGGUUUUGACUCUCGUGGUGGAGGAGGAGGAAGUCGUCGUGCCUUUGGCACUGGCUUCCGCCGCGAUUAUGAUGACACUCGGGGUAGCAGUGAUCGUUACGGUGAACGAGAACGUUACGGGGACCGCGAGGACCGAUACGAGAGGAAGGAUGAGAGGCGUGAAGAGAGGAGUGACGGUGAGGGUGCCACGCAGAGACCCAAGUUGAACCUUAAGCCCCGUAGCGUGCCUAAGGAGGAGGAAGGCAGUGGUGGAGGCGGUGGCGGUGGCGGAGGUAGCAGUGGUGGGGGCGGCGGUACCUCCCCAGCUGUAGCUGCACCUCCAAGCUCUGGCAGCAGGGCUUCCUCCAUCUUUGGUGCAGCAAAGCCAGUUGACACAGCAGCCAAGGAGAGGGAGGUGGAGGAGAGGCUGAAGAAACAGGAAGAGAGACUGCAGAGGCAGCUGGAGGAGGACAAAGGACGAGGACCUGAGAGAAAGAUUCGAGACAGGGACCCAAGCUGGCGCAAUGAAGAAAGUCAUCCUUCGAGGUCUCGCACAGGAAGUGAGUCUUCACAGCCAGGAAGUACUUCUGGUAGAGGCUCCCGGUGUCGAGAUGGCGAGCGCUCUGGGGAGAAUGAGGUUUUCAGUGCGAGAGAUAGUGAGCCCUCCUCCCCUGGGACCUCCCCGCUGCCCCCCUCCAUCAACUCCUCCAAGGAGCUGCUGAAGGUGGUGCCUGCACCUCCUCCGAAGGAGAAUGUCUGGGCCAAGAGAAGUGCAGCCAGCACAGGCUCUAGUGAGGGUGAUGGACGACCUCCAGUCUCUCCUGUCUCCCCCAGUGGGUCAACUCCUCCUAAGCUCAGCUCCCCAAAUUCUGCAGAUGAAAGAGAUUCUGAAAAAGAUGAGUACAAGGCUGACGUUAUGCGUCGUGACCGGGGGCCCCCACGAGCACGAGGGGGGCCUGCAGGGCAUGGAGCAGGGCGGGGCCGAGGAGAUGGUCCCAACAGAGACCGAAGAAAGGAGGCAGACAGGUCAGCCAUCCUCAGCUAGCCACUCCAAACAGGGAGGAGAGUUAGUGGGCAUCUGUAAAGAAUGGCCUAUGCUCAGUUACACGGCUCAUGAUGCAUUCAUUAAAGGAUAACAGAAGAGACCGAGACUCCAGACCACCCCCAGAGCCAAAGAAAUUCCAAGAAACCCCAACCCCUAAGUUCAGCUCAGCCAGUAAGUACGCCGCUCUGCUAAUGGACGGAGACGACGCAGAGGACGUAGAAUAGAGAGAAAAUAACGAGAAGAGGCCUGCGCAAUACGAGGAGCAAACGACGACCGCUGAAAAAAAUAAUCUCACAUAGCUUACGAAAAAAACUCCUCACGUGGAAGAGGCUCCUGGGAGGACAUCGCUCCCUCCUUCCUUUCCUCCUACAAACCUGUCCUUUACUUUAAAAACACCCCCCUCCCAUCCUCCCUCCCCUGCCCCGCCUUCAGGACUAUUCAGCUUCUUAAGAAUAGUCACAUACUGGACUUGUUUUAAAUGGGAAAAGAGGAGUAGCUGACACAUUGAAAAGUGAUGGAUGACAUUGAAUUAAUUGUAAUAAAUAAAUGGAAAAAGUGGGGAAAAAAUGAAUUUGUAUAUUUCUGGAUCGACAGUGGGGUGAGGUUGGAUGAUAUGACCGGAGAUACAGUUUACCAACCUGAUUUUAUUAACUAAUCAACUUUUGACUUUGCUAUCUUAGUAAUGCCCAGAUUAAAUGCAUAGCUAUUAAUGAUAAGCCCUUUGUAUUCCCCUAUAUUCAUAAGUAAGUCAUAGAUUUAUUAAAAAUCAAUUCAUUCUUUUUUUUAAUGAAAGUUGAUGAAUAUCCUGUCUUCCAAUGCUCAGACAUGAUUGUUGAUGCUGGUUACUAAUUAAAAAAAGAAAAAAUCAUCAACAAAAUGUCGAACUUAUGCUAAACUGAGUCACGGUAUAUAUCAAGAUGGGAUUACGCCUUGUAUGUCGAAAGGAAAACGGCUGAAAAACAAUUCUUGCUUGGAGAACCGAUCAAGUCCUACUGCUGUUCCAAUCAUUGUGCUGAUGUCUCUAUUAUACACACCUGAUGAAAACAUAACGUCAAUUAAAAGCUCGUAAUGCACGUUUCCAGCAGUGGUAAAGGUUCUCCACAGCUGUCUAAAUCAUUCACUUUCCUGAAGUGAGGAAUACAAAUAUUUGGGCAGAGUCUGGAGUUGUCUUAUAGCAGGAUGCGAGUACUUCCACAAGAUGACAUGAACCUGUCUUCCAAUUUGCAAUAAAUUGGGGUCAUUAUGUGCAUUCA